UAGGGAAUCUUCCGCAAUGGGCGAAAGCCUGACGGAGCAACGCCGCGUGAGUGAUGAAGGUCUUCGGAUCGUAAAACUCUGUUAUUAGGGAAGAACAAAUGUGUAAGUAACUAUGCACGUCUUGACGGUACCUAAUCAGAAAGCCACGGCUAACUACGUGCCAGCAGCCGCGGUAAUACGUAGGUGGCAACCGUUAUCCGGAAUUAUUGGGCGUAAAGCGCGCGUAGGCGGUUUUUUAAGUCUGAUGUGAAAGCCCACGGCUCAACCGUGGAGGGUCAUUGGAAACUGGAAAACUUGAGUGCAGAAGAGGAAAGUGGAAUUCCGUGUGUAGCGGUGAAAUGCGCAGAGAUAUGGAGGAACGCCAGAGGAGAAGGCGACUUUCUGGUCUGUAAAUGACGCUGAUGUGUGAAAGCGUGGGGAUCAAACAGG
rnacentral:rRNA from 1 species